rnacentral:rRNA from 1 species
UACGUAGGGGGGCAAGCGUUGUCCGGAUUUACUGGGCGUAAAGCGCCUGUAGGCGGCCUGUCAAGUCCGGCCUGAAAGCCCCCCGCUCAACGGGGGAGGGUGGCUGGAAACUGGCAGGCUUGAGGGCGAGAGAGGAGGGUGGAAUUCCUGGUGUAGCGGUGAAAUGCGUAGAUAUCGUAAGGAAGACCAGUGGCGAAGGCGGGUCGUCUGGACAGUUCCUGACGCUGAGGGCACGAAGGUC